rnacentral:ncRNA from 1 species
GUGAGCCUAGUGAUAGGAGACUAUCUAGCUUGGUUCGGAGAGCACUUGUUGGGUUUAAGAUUUGUUUUUUGCUAAAUGGUAGGCCUAAAUGCUGAACUAUUGACCCUAC